rnacentral:rRNA from 1 species
AACGAACGCUGGCGGCAUGCCUAACACAUGCAAGUCGAACGAGACCUUCGGGUCUAGUGGCGCACGGGUGCGUAACGCGUGGGAACCUGCCCUUAGGUUCGGCAUAACUCCCCGAAAGGGGUGCUAAUACCGGAUCAUGUCUUCUGACCAAAGAUUUAUCGCCUUUGGAUGGGCCCGCGUUGGAUUAGCUAGUUGGUAGGGUAAAAGCCUACCACGGCGACGAUCCAUAGCUGGUCUGAGAGGAUGAUCAGCCACACUGGGACUGAGACACGCCCCAGACUCCUACGGGAGGCAGCAGUGGGGAAUAGUGGACAAUGGGCGAAAGCCUGAUCCAGCAAUGCCGCGUGAGUGAUGAAGGCCUUAGGGUUGUAAAGCUCAUUUAACCGGGAUGAUAAUGACAGUACCGGGAGAAUAAGCUCCGGCUAACUCCGUG